rnacentral:rRNA from 1 species
CCUACGGGUGGCAGCAGUGAGGAAUAUUGGUCAAUGGCCGAGAGGCUGAACCAGCCAAGUCGCGUGAGGGAAGACGGCCCUACGGGUUGUAAACCUCUUUUGCCGGGGAGCAAGGGCGGGGACGUGUCCCGGCCCGGAGAGUACCCGGAGAAAAAGCAUCGGCUAACUCCGUGCCCGCAGCCGCGGUUAUACGGAGGAUGCGAGCGUUCUCCGGAUUUUUUGGGUUUAAAGGGUGCGUAGGCGGGCUUUUAAGUCAGCGGUAAAAAUUCGGGGCUCAACCCCGUCCGGCCGUUGAAACUGGUGUCCUUGAGUGGGCGAGAAGAAGGCGGAAUGCGUGGUGUAGCGGUGAAAUGCAUAGAUAUCACGCAGAACCCCGAUUGCGAAGGCAGCCUUCCGGCGCCCUACUGACGCUGAGGCACGAAAGUGCGGGUAUCGAACAGGAUUAGAUACCCUUGUAGUC